rnacentral:rRNA from 1 species
CCUACGGGAGGCAGCAGUGGGGGAUAUUGCACAAUGGGGGGAACCCUGAUGCAGCGACGCCGCGUGGGUGAAGGAGUGCUUCGGCAUGUAAAGCCCUAUCGGCAGGGAAGAAGCAAGACGGUACCUGACUAAGAAGCCCCGGCUAACUACGUGCCAGCAGCCGCGGUAAUACGUAGGGGGCGAGCGUUAUCCGGAUUCACUGGGUGGAAAGGGAGCGUAGACGGCCAUGCAAGCCAGGGGUGAAAGCCCGGGGCCCAACCCCGGGACUGCCCUUGGAACUGCAUGGCUGGAGUGCGGGAGGGGCAGGCGGAAUUCCUGGUGUAGCGGUGAAAUGCGGAGAUAUCAGGAGGAACACCGGCGGCGAAGGCGGCCUGCUGGACCGCGACUGACGUUGAGGCUCGAAAGCGUGGGGAGCGAACAGGAUUAGAUACCCUAGUAGUC